UGCACGGUGGUGUAGUUUGUAGCACUGUAACAAGGUCCUGGGUUCAACUCCCAGCUGGGGGUCUUUCUGCAU